CCCUUAGAUGUUCUGGGCUGCACGCGCGCUACACUGAUGCACUCAACGAGUUUACGACCUUGCCCGAUAGGGUUGGGUAAUCUUUUUAAAAUGCAUCGUGAUGGGGAUAGAUUAUUGCAAUUAUUAAUCUUCAACGAGGAAUUCCUAGUAAGCGCGAGUCAUCAGCUCGUGCUGAUUACGUCCCUGCCCUUUGUACACACCGCCCGUCGCUCCUACCGAUUGAGUGCUCAGGUGAAUAAUUCGGACUGCAGCAAUGUUUGGAUCCCGAACGUUGCAGCGGAAAGUUUAGUGAACCUUAUCACUUAGAGGAAGGAGAAGGCGUAACA
rnacentral:rRNA from 1 species